GCCUUCAAAGUCACAGAUCCAUACCUGCCUCAGCGUCCCAAGUGCUGGCAUUAAAGAUAAACACUACCAGCAUCUGGCAACUAUGCGCUUAUUUAUGGAAAAAUGUCUUAAGUUAUACUUCAAUUCCCAGCUAAUAUUAUCUUUUGGGGGGACUUUCAAUUCUCAGUUGAGUGGAUACAGAACGAUUACAGAAGACCUUUAUAUGUGUUUACCAGAGAAAGCUUGUGCUUUAUGGUCGUUUUAAACAGGCUUUUUGUUUUGGUUUGGUUUGGUUUUGAGACAGGGUUUCUCUGUAUAGCCCUGGCAGUCCUGAAACUCACUCUGUAGACCAGGCUGGCCUUGAACUCAGAAAUCUGCCUGUCUCUGCCUCCCAAGUGUUGGGAUUAAAGGCGUGUGCCACCACUGCCCAGCAAAAAGGUUUAUUUUUAACUAUGUGUUGAGUGUUGGUAUGUGCAUAAGAAUGUGGGAACCCAAAGUGGAUAACAGGAAUUGAAAUUGGGUCCUCCAGAAAAGCACUAUGAGAGCUCCUAACCACUGAGCCUUCUCUCCAGCCUUUGUGUUUUUUUGACAGGGUUUUAGCCCUGUAGAAACCCUGCAUCAGCCUCCUCAGUGCAAGGACUACAAGUGUGCACCUCCACACCUGAUACAAUUCUUGUUUCCCCACAAUUGAAGUCAGUUCUGAGUUUGAGACUUCCUAGCCAGAACAAAGUGAAAUCUGCUGCACAGAGAACACCUGCAGUCUAGCAGUGUUAUGUUUAUUGGGGAAGUAGUUACAUGUGUUUCCACUUCAUAAUUAGUUAAAUAUUACGUUAUAAUUGGUAAAAUAGUAAGAAGGUCAAAUGUUAAAAGCUUUAAAUAAAAUGGGAAAACCAACAAAAAUGAACCAACUCUUAAGAGAAUGGGGAGAAGCUAACAUAAACCCAUCACCGGGUCAGCUGUGAGAACCUGCAGCCAUCAUGGAGAUAGUGCAGACUGACCAGCCAGAAUGUCGCAAUACAGACUAGUGAUGGGAAGUAUGGGUGUGGUGGUGUUGGGAACAGGAUAAGUUUAGAAGCACUAAACACUUUCUAUGAAAAGUUAAUAACGGCUAACAUUGGAAAAUGACUUCUUUGUGCAUGUUGUUUUGAUAUGUUUUAUUGUUAACAUAGUAGCCCUAUGUACGUGUGACACUGUACCUCUCUGGUUAAAACAUAAACUAAAUUUUAAUAAAUGGAUAUUUAUUUU
rnacentral:lncRNA from 1 species